ensembl:lncRNA
AUUUUUGGAUAGGAUAGAAUAAGCAAGCAGUCAUCGUUACAUUAAACUUGUUGAACCACAUUGUUUGCAUAACUUUAUUCAACAAUAUUGGGCAGUAGAAUUGAAUAAAAAUCGUUCAAAUAAUGUCAGCCAUAAUAGAACAAUUACAGCAGUAAUCGGAACUCUGAACAAUAAGACAAGCCACAACCGCUUUAGAAUUUCACAAAGGAGGAUUUUAAAGAAUUUUUAUUGAAAUAAAGAUAAAUUUCAGUCCCAGUCCCUUAUGGUUUCCAAAAGCGUGCUUUGGAUUGUAGCGCCAACAUAUCAGACGACUUCUCUCCAAAGCCCUCUUUGCGUAUACAGCAGCAUGUAUAGAAUCAAAGAAAAAUAAACCUAACCAACAGGUCAUUUGGCACAAUCAACUCAUACAAUGGUAUUACUGUGCUGGUAUUUCAUUAUCGUCAAACCAAUUGCUCUGUAUCGGUGCACAAUGUUUACCAUCGACUGAUGAAAAAUUGAUUCAAAAUACAUUUUGACCAUAACAGACAUAGUACAGCGAUUGCAUCAGAAAAGGUAUUGAAGACGACAAAACAAUAAACAGCCGUAGGAAAGAAAAGAAAAAAAACAGGCCCUUUUGAAGGGUUGCAAUACUGGGGCUGAUUGUAGUUUCUGUUCACACAGACAUCGCCACUCCUAACCUCCACGCACCGCUCGCGUUCCAGUGUGAACCCAGCACUACUCGGCAUCGUUGGGGUAGAGCUUAGACUAUUGGCCUUAGUGUUAAGCUUAGUUUAAAAAGGUGGUCGGAUCUAGAUUGAAAUAUCUGAACCCCACAAUACAGACCUCAUUCGAAAUACGAAGGACUACCGCCCCACCCAACAUUUGAGAUCAAAAUAAUGGAUUAAGAACCCCCCCCCCCAAAAAAAACAAAAAAAAACGAAUUUGUACAUGAACAGUGGAAAUAAAUACUGUGAAAUGGAUUGGAUUCCUUUUCCAGUGUCUUGAUAGAACGUUAUAGUUGAAUCCAGCUUGAUAAGCACUUUGGUAUACAUGCUGGUCAGACAUACGGAGUCAGUUGGAAUAGGCCUUUAGUUGAUUUAACAUUGCACUUGGGCAGUUGUUUCAAGUGAAGAUAUGAAUACUGGGCAUUGUAACACAUUCAUAAAGCAUGCACUCAUGGACAGAGUUAACGUUUGGACAAAAAACAACCAGGUAACAGCAAUAUUAGCAGGAAAAGUGCUGAUUUGUCAUAUUGACAUAAAGGGUCGAGUUAAUAAACGCGUCUGAUGACAAAAACCAAGUCUCGGGUUCAUCAUUUAUUCAUAGACGUUUUUGUGACAGCUGUUAAAAAGAUUCCAAUUCGAUUUGAAAACAGGAUAUUCUGUCACAGUGUUUCUCAAACAGGACCACUGAUCCGGAAUCAGAAGGUUCCACGUCAUUCUGGUGACUAUCGUGUUCAGAAAGGCAAUAUUGAUCCGAUAUGCGUUUCCCCCAAGGCCGUUAGUACGGGUCCCAGGUAGCCAGGCAGGCAGAGACGGCUAGUGUACGGGUCUCAUCCGGGAGGACGCAGGAUGGCUUCAUGUUAACAGUCGUUUUAGUGAUUAGAAUGGGGAGAACGGGAUCUUUAAGUACACACGGUAAACAGCAUCUUAUACAUCCGACUCGUGAUGGUGUGGGAACCUAGAAUGACAUUUUGAAUCUCUGCUUUGAAACCACAACAUUUCUCUUUCCCCAGUUGCAGACGUUGAAAAGCUCUUUAGUUCUGCAUUAACUUACAAUUAGAGGAUCGUUUUGGGCAUGAUUUGAGCCGCAGUGGUGGCCGUGAGCUCCCUGGUCAGACCGUUUGGAAUUACUGGAUCGCUACAGCCAUCUACUCCUGACUCUAAAGUGAUCCUGUGUUAAAUACCGAAUGCCACAACGACUUGGGCCCAAUCCCAUUUCUACCCCUUACCCCUUCCCCUUGUUUUGAAGGGGUAAGGGUAAGGGGUAAGGGGUAAGGGGUAGAAAUGGGAUUGGGCUUUAGUGACCAAAAGAGGGAAGCAAAAAAAAAGAAAGAAUAUCCAAGACCAUUUGAUGGACAAGCGUUGCAGCUAGUCAAAAGGGGAGGGGGGAAGGGGAGGGGUGGGGGGGGGGGCAGUACUUCACAGCUUCUCAAAGCCCAACUUUUACAACAUGCUCCCCUUGUUAAGACAUCUGCACAUAAUUUAAGAAAAGUCGAGCAGAAACCUGUGCCUGACUUUGUUCAUCGAGUAGCGUUCUCUUCAGUUAGAUCAAUAGGUCUAUCGGUACCUCUUUAUAAAAAGGAAAAGUGAGCAAGAUUGAUAACUGGAUGGCCAAGGCCUCUUUUGAAUAAAUACUGGCUGACUUUCAAGAUCUGAAGACAAAAACAAAACAAAAGAGAUACUGCUUUUAGCACUGAUAUGGAGAGGAGUGUACAGUAAAAUCCUAACAGACUCUUAACCCCAUGUCAAAAAAUAAAUACAAAAAAUAAUUUCAGCUUCACCACCGUCCGUUUCAGUAUAAGCGGGAAAACUGAUAUCAUCCAUUUCAUUCUUCUGGUAUUUCUCUUCUCGAAGGAUAGUAUUUGGCGUUCUGCAGACUUCGUCUCCUCCCCCACCAAAAUACCCCCGAAUUGGAGACCCAACCAUUGGGAGACUACUGGGAGAUCUCCCUAGAGUCACUGUGGACCAUUCCAAGUCUACUCUCUGAAAGAUCUCUGUGCACGAUAAGGAGAGCUCGGGAGAAGAGAAACCAAAUAAAAACAAGAGGCCACACUGGGUCAUUUCUGUGAAGCAGUGUAGUGACAGAGGGCCGGCGGCCGACAACGGCCAACGUCCCGUCUCUGGAAAAAUAAAAAGGGAGGAAGAGGGAGAGAGAAAGAAAAAAAUAGAAUCUGCUUUUUCAUCACUAGUGCUUUUGGCCCCAAUGAAGGGAAGUCACCCUUCAUGGCAUCUUUCAUCGGUUUUUUUAUUUCGUUUUUUUUUCAAUUUGUUUUUAGAGCAAAAGCACAAUCCAGAGUUUUCCUUCCUCUGACUGAGAAUACGGAAGCAACGCCUAGCUAGUGCCAGUUUUGUGGGUGCAGUUGAUCGUACUCGGCUAUAAGUUUCUUUAUGUGCGCCAGUUUGUUGUGUAGAUAUUCACAGCGAUUCUUCUCUUGGCUAUAGUUUGGGUUAGUCU